AUUGAACGCUGGCGGCAGGCCUAACACAUGCAAGUCGAGCGGAUGAAGGGGGGUUGCUGCUGGAUUCAGCGGCGGACGGGUGAGUCAUGCCUAGGAAUCUGCCUGGACGUGGGGGAAAACGUCCGGAAACGGGCGCUAAUACUGCGUGCGUACUGAGGGAGAAAGUGGGGGAGCCUGGGACCGCACGCUUUCUUAUGAGCGGAGGUCGCAUUAGCUAGUGGGGGGGGGAAAGGCGUACAAAGGCGAGGACCGGUAACUGGUCUGAGAGGAUGAUCAGGCACACGGGCACUGAGACAGGGUACAGACUCCUACGAGAGGCAGCAGUCGAAACUAUUGGACAAUGCGGGAAAGCGUGAUCCUGCCAAGCCGCGUGUGUGCAGAAGGUCUUAGGAUUGUUGAGCACUUUAAGUUGGAGGAAAGGGCAAUACUUUAAUAGCUGACUAUUAUGACGUUACCCGCAGAAUAAGCCCCGGCUAACUUCGUG
rnacentral:rRNA from 1 species